CAGCAGCAGCAGCAGCCAGGCAGAAAGAGGAGGAGGAGGAGGAAUUACAGGGGAGGAGGGCCAGGCAUUAUGACGAGGGGCAGAGAAAGACACACACACACAGAGAGUCCAGUGUGAGAUUGAAUUCCAAUGGUGACAGAGGCAGCUGAGUGCUUGGAAAUCCCCCAGGAUCCAGGCAUAGGGUUGCAUUCAAGUAGAGGCAUUUGCUGGUCCUUGGCAGCCCCUCUCUGCAUUCAAAUUUGAGGUGGGAUUUCAAUGGCACCAGAUGCAGCCAAGUAUCUGCAAGUUCCCUCUGGAUCCAGGAAGUCCCUCUGGAUCCAGGCAUAAGAUUGAAUCCCAGAAUCUUGGACACAGUCAUUGGCAUUAGGUGCAACUUGAUAUUUGGAAGUCUCUCUGGAUCCAGGUGUAGCAGAAACAGCUCAGACUCCAUGGGUCUAGGAGGGGAGACGCUACGGAAGAAAACAAGCUCCCAAGAGCAAAGAGAAACGUCUUUCAUUCACGGAUGUGAAGAGGCUGACAGCUUGUAUGUGCCGAAAUUCUUUAGAUAUACUCUAUCGACUGGCUGGCUGAUUACAUACACUUUCUUAACUUUCUACAAAGACAGAAAGUGCUUGUUUACGAGGCCAAAAGCACUGCGUACUUCUCUCUAGUCAGGGAGGGAUACAUUUUUAAACUUUGGUUCCUUCACAGGUAUAAGAUUGAAUCCCAGAAUCCUAGACACUUCCAUUUCUUUUAAGUCCUUUGUUAUAGUUACUCCCAGAUAUUUUAAUUUAUUAUUGAUUCUAAUUCCCAUAUUACCUUGUUCUGUAAAGUCUCUUCUUUCUUUGUACAAUUAAAUAACAUCAUUUCUGAUUUAUUCCAAUUUACUUGUAAACCCGUUUCCCCCCCCCCCAAAAAAUAUCUCUAAAUGAUCCUUUAUCCUAAUCAUUUUACCAACCAUAUUUUAAAUAAAUAAUAUUUUGUAAUCAGCAAAUAAGCCUACCUUCUGCCUUUCCUUUAUUCCUACCUCUUAUAAAUUCUUAUCUUUCCUAAUGGCAUUUGCAAAUAAUUCUAUCACCAUAGCAAACAAAAUUGGUGAUAGCGGGCAGCCUUGCAGUCUAACCUUUCAAUCCAAAGUCAGUUCCAAAUACUUAGUUGCACUUAAGUGCCAUUUAAAUUCACAUUUAAGCUCAUUCUUGAAUUCAAAGUAAUUUCCAAAUGCCUAAUGACAUCUUAUGCCCAAUCUUACACUUGAAUCCACUUGAUACCUAGUUGUACCACAUGACAUUUAAAUUUCGAUUAAACUUUACAUUUAAUUCCAGAGUCACUUCCAAAAUUAUCAGGUUCUCUCUCAAGCCAAUUACAUUAAAUUUCCUUUUGUAAGUGAUUUUUAUUAGAAAAAGACAGAACAUAAUAGAAAAUCAAUAGUUAUACAAACAAGCAAGAUGUUGUGACAUAAAAUACUAAAACUGGGCAGCAAUAUUCUACCUGCUUCUGCUAACUACAAACCUACAUCAGAACACAAACAGAAAACAAAUACAUUUCCACAGUUCUACAUUUGGUAACACUCUUUUAAUUCAGAAAUCCUAAAAUCGAUAAAUGCUCCCAUCAUUGUUGAGAUAAAUAAGUUCCAGUCUUUCCUGAAGUUGGUCAAUGAUUUCUCCUUAAUCAGCACAGUUGGUUUGUCCAUCUCAGCUAGUUCACAAAUAUUUAUCAACCAUUCUUUGUUGUAUGUUGGAAUAACUGUAACUGGUAUCUUCAGUUUCCAAGCAUAGACAAAACUUGCUGCACUUACCAUAUAUUGUAAUUAUUUUCCUUUUUUAAAAAAAUGGUUGCCCGGCAUUCCCAGCAAAUAAACUCUGAUGGCAUCAUAAAUGUAACCUUAACAAUUUCUGCCAGCAUCACAUCUACUUGAAUAUUGGACUCUACUUGUGUCCAGUAUUUCAGGGCCUUUCUGUAAGCCCACCAUUUAUUUCACACUUGGGUCCAAAGUCAUUUCCAAAUGCGUAGUUGCAUCUGAAAGCUAAUAUACUGAUUUAAGCAUUAGAUUAGGACUUGAUUUCCCACUCGGCCAAGAAAACCCAUUGGCUGACCCUUGGGUAGGUCACACACACUUAGCCUCAGAGGAAGGCAAUGACAAACCCCUCUGAAGAAAUCUUGCCCUCAAAAACUCUGUUAAUAUGUUUCUUUAUGGUUACAGUGUAUAGGAAACAACUCAAAGGCAUACAACAACAAUGCCAGGAGAGGGCAGGCCCGGACCCCAGAAGGGGAGACAGCCUCCCCUUGCCCCACAAACAGGGACCCCUAAGUCACUUUUGCCCAGGAGGGAGCCUGAGAGUGCCCUGCAGGGUUUACCUGUGCCUGCCGUGGAGGACAACCUAGGUAGGGCCAGGCCCAGGCCCCAGGUAAGGAUACAGAUGCGGAAGCAGGGAGCGCUCUGGAGUCUCCUGGUGAGGAGGGAGGCAAAAGGGGUGCUCUCCAGCUUAGCCUGGCCCCCCCUCCUGCCCUGGAGGCCCCUUUUUGUCAGGCAACCCUUUCUACUACCGGAACUCUGAGAGACACUUUCUGCCUGACAUCUGCCUACCCCUUGCUGCUCCUGGCCCUCCCUGGACCUGACCCACUAGUCCUGCCUGGCACUACAGUUGAAUGUAGCAAGCAAUCUGAAAAAACCUAAAGCACAGUUAUAACUUUCAUAGCAGCAGCAUUUGGUGCUUUCCUUGCGGCUACUUUAAACAGCCUCACCGCCCACCACCUGGCCACCGGAACAUCUGCAUGGAGUGCUUCCACAGUCCCUGCAGCCUUGCCAUGCGGCUACUUUAAAUGGCCUCACUGCCCAGCCACCGGAACAUCUGCGUGGGAUGUCUCCACGGCUUCUUUAACACCUUGCCUGCUGCUUGUUACCUGCUGCCUGCUGCUUUUGGCCACUUUUUUUUCUAUCAGCCCACUUUGGUUGGAUUGAAUGUAUGUUAAGCUGUUUUAUUGUACAGUAGAGUUCCGGUUAUCCGAGUUCCAGUUAACCGACACUCCGUAUUAUUCGAGGCGCCGCCGGGGCUUGGCAAGGAGGGAAGUGAGGCCUGAGAGGGAGCCACCGCCGCCACCGCCGCUGCGCUCAUGGCUGCCUCUGCCUCCCCCUGUGCCGCCACCACCUCCUUUGCAUCUUCCUGGGGCAGCCAGGGAAAGAGGGAGAGAAAAGUCCUCCUCCCUCUCCCACUCCUUCUCUUGAGUUCCUCCCUGGAACAGCCCAAGGAAGGGAGCGCUGCUGAGCCAAAGGGAGAUCGAGAGAAGGAGAGGGAGAGGGAGGAGGAAGCGCCCCGUGAGCGUUGCUAGGCAGCAGCACUCACGGGGCACUUCCCUGAGCUGAGUGCUCGUCAUAGGGAUGAGCCACGUCCCCUGGCAACCACUUGCCCCCUUGGGAAGUGCCCCGUGAGCAUUACUAGGCAGCAGCACUCACAGGGUGCUUUCCUGGCCAAGCGCUCACGGUAGGGACGAGCCCCAUCCCUCAGCAAGCACCCGCCCCUUGGGAAGCACCCCUUGAGCGUUACUAGGCAGCAGCGCUCAAAGGGUGCUUCCCUGAGCCGGAUUGCCGGGAGGGAUAAUAGGGCCUCCCUAUUAUCUGUCGGGAGCCCCGGUGGCGAAGUGUGUUAAAGCGCUGAGCUGCUGAACUUGCGAACCAAAAGGUCCCAGGUUCAAAUCCCAGGAGCGAAAUGAGCCCCCGCUGUUAGCCCUAGCUCCUGCCAACCUACCAGUUUGAAAAUAUGCAAAUGUGGGUAGAUCAAUAGGUACCGCUCCAGCGGGAAGGUAACGGCGCUCCAUGCAGUCAUGUUGGCCACAUGAGCUGAAGAUGUCUAUGGACAACACCGGCUCUUCGGCUUAGAAAUGGAGAUGAGCACCAACCCCCAGAGUCGGUCACGACUGGACCUAACACCAGGGGAAACCUUUACCUUUACCUAUUAUCCGUCAGUUCCGGUUAUUCGACAUUCAGCCCGCUUGUUUAUGUCGAAUAACCGGAACUCUACUGUACUUAUAUUUUAACUGUUUAAUUUGAGAUAUUUUAUUUAUUAUUGUAAGAGUAACUGCGGCAUUGAUAACUGAUCUUAAUGUUUAUAUAUUUAUGCUUUAUUUUAUGUUCCGGCAUUGAAUGUUUGCCGUAUAUAUGUUGUGCUCGUCCCUGAGUCCUCUUCAGGAUGAGAAGGGUGGAAUAUAAAUGCUUUAAAUAAAUAAAUGCUUUAAGAUGG